ensembl:snoRNA
AUCUUUUUGUAGUUCGUAAGUGUGAUGAUUGGGUUUUCAUGUGCAUAUGUGAGAUGUCCCUCCUACAAAUCUGGUUAUGAUGUCGGCACAUUACCCAUCUGACA